CCACCCCAUCCGCAGUUCCGCUGCCCGUGGUUUCUGUUACCCGAGAUCAACCGCCCUCUGAAGGCAGAUGACACUUCUGCUGCUGGAAGGUCAGAAGGUCAGCGGUGGACUAACGCUACGUCACUGCGCGUGUGUCACGCCACUUCAUCUCAUCACGCCGGUAUUUUAUCAUCUCCCAUCAUCACAAGAAGGGAAAUCACUAAAUUCUCAAUCAAGGUCAUCCCACGUGUCAAAGUUGACAGAGUCCUGUCUGUUUCACCUGUUACGAGAGUGUGCAGCUGCAUCACAGAUCCGGGUUUAUUCAAUCUGGAUCAUAAAGCUAUGGUCUUACAUAAAACAAGGGAUGCGGGAUUUAUGAACAUGUUUGGUUUGGGUUAUCAAGAGUCUAUUUCCUGUCAAUAGGAAAUGAAAUCAUAAAAAAUAAAACUACCGAUAGGACUCAACACGGGAACUGCUGUAUCAUAAUGACCGUGUUCCCAUGGUGAUCUCACAAGAUAUGCAAACACCCGGGGCCACUUUACCGUCAGCACACGAUUUAGGAGUGACACUGAGCCCGUUGGUAGAUGGUAGGCGUCUGCCUGUAGCCUCAGAGGCCUGCCGACAACCAAAAACAUUUACCAGGAGCAGGAUGCUGGAAGCUGCCAUAGUAUUCCACUAACUUGAAAGCCACCCUGAUGCGUGAUUGUCAAAGAUUUAGGAAUAUAAAAGAAAAGUCAAAUUGAGCGCUUUGGAGGUAAGCAACUUUGGUGCCAACUCCAUGCUCAACCUCAAGACCCAUGGGCAGCCUAGAGGACAAAGUCACAUUGGUGGACCUUGUCCUUGAUUCAGGUGUCUGGUGCCUCCAGCAAGUCAAGCUGCCCGCGCUUUAAAAAUCCGUGGGAGGUAGCAUCAGCCGUGCCACGGACUUGAACUUGAGUUAGGCCUGCUCGUCACGAGGCUCCUCUUUCCAGCGGAGCAUGGUGGGUGGAGGCGUGCGACAGUGACUUCGCUUUGCUCUGAAGUUGGGACGCAAGCACAGCACACCAUAAAGACAACAGGCAACAUGACGGUGGAAUGUUCGGGAAGAAGAAGAAAGCCUGUAAGCCAACCUGCUGUGUCCCGAUUAGACUCCGGGUGGGUCGGCUCAAGCAAACGGGAGGCCGAAAGGACCUCGAUCAUUUUGGAAAUCCGUGCUACCGACGGACAGAGGGCCAUCAUCCAGAGGACAAUUUUUAUAGCCUGGUCCGGUGUCGGGGAGAAUGCUGAGCCUUUCUGUGUAGGCAUGGUCUUAGAGGAAAGGAACCGUGGCUGACGGGGCACCUUCUAAUGAGAAGAUUAGAAACAGAACACACAGCUCGUCCUGGCUGUGCCUCCAGCUGUGGAACCCAGGGCACGUCCCUUAAGUCGAAUUUCGGUUUUUCUCCUGUAUCACCAAAGAUCACUCCUGAGUGUCCGUCCUAUGUGUCGCUCGCUGCUGCAGCAUUUGAUACUGGUCCCUGUCCCGAGCCUAAAACUCCUUCCUAUCUGGUUCGAAUGCAGAUUCUGAAUCCGUGGGACUGGGGGUGGGGCCCGAGAUUCUGUAUUUCUACCAAGUUUCCAGGGAAGGCAGGUGCUGGUGGUCCAUGGACCACGCUUGUAGUAGCACGGCCCUCGCCUAGUUCCUGGCCCUUCGAGGCACGCGGUGGCAUUUACCUCUCCCCACCCGUCUCUGCUCCUCCCUCUUGGUGCCUUUGACGUUUUCUCAUACCACUUGCACAUGGCUCCCCGCACCAUGCUUUAGUUAGCUGCUGUCUCCGUGUCUCCCACGAGACUGCGAGCGGUUUGGGGGUAGAAACUACACGGCCUUCCUUUCAAUGUCAUCUGUGCCCUGCGUUGGACCAGGUACAUAAAAAAAGGAUCAAUCAAUGUUUGAUGAACUAAGCCUGUAAAUUGGAAAUCAGAACAUCAGUGCUGCCUGCCUUGACGAGUUGUUGUCGUGAGCAAACGCGGUGAUUUGGGAGAGAGAGCGUGGAAACGGAUCGUACGGUACAAACAUAAAGUGUUAUUAUCAAUCAGCUUUCUACUCUGCAGCAGUUCAGACCCCUGUAGCUGAAGCAUAUUGGUUGUGGCAUUCGCUCGGGCUCUGAUGAUUAUAAAAACUCAGAUUCAUCUAUGAUUUCAAAAUAAACCACAUUCUCUCCAGGCUAACAAGGGUGGCAGUCUCUGCCCAUGGGUGAUGAAGGAUCAAAGAGGUUCAGAC